rnacentral:pre_miRNA from 1 species
CAUAUACUCCCUCCGUUCUGAAUUACUUGUCUUGGAAAUGGAUGUAUCUAGAACUAAAAUACGUCUAGAUACAUCCAUUUCUACGACAAGUAAUUCCGAACAGAGGGAGUAGCAA